ACGUACACUCCUGCGGGGGCAGCAGUGGGGAAUAUUGGACAAUGGGCGCAAGCCUGAUCCAGCCAUGCCGCGUGAGUGAUGAAGGCCCUAGGGUUGUAAAGCUCUUUCACCGGUGAAGAUAAUGACGGUAACCGGAGAAGAAGCCCCGGCUAACUUCGUGCCAGCAGCCGCGGUAAUACGAAGGGGGCUAGCGUUGUUCGGAUUUACUGGGCGUAAAGCGCACGUAGGCGGACUAUUAAGUCAGGGGUGAAAUCCCGGGGCUCAACCCCGGAACUGCCUUUGAUACUGGUAGUCUUGAGUUCGAGAGAGGUGAGUGGAAUUCCGAGUGUAGAGGUGAAAUUCGUAGAUAUUCGGAGGAACACCAGUGGCGAAGGCGGCUCACUGGCUCGAUACUGACGCUGAGGUGCGAAAGCGUGGGGAGCAAACAGGAUUAGAAACCCGGGUAGUCCCAGA
rnacentral:rRNA from 1 species